rnacentral:lncRNA from 1 species
GUCCCCGGCGUCCGGGCGCCCUGCAUGGAUCCCCCACCCCAGCUCCUGCUCCCCGGCGGCGGCCGGUGGGCAGAAAGACCGAAACCCACUCACGGCCGCCUGCCGAAUCGCGGCUCUGCUGUUUGUGGGGCGUGCUAGAAACGUGGUCCUAAAAAGAAUGGCGUCCAUUUACAUAAUGCUUUGUUUGCGUUUCGCAAGUUUCUUUCGGUUAAAGCCACAGAAACCCCACCUCCUGCCCUUGUGUCGUUUCCACCGCGGCACCCUUUUCCGACAUUAGAAACAAUAGUGUACGCCUGUGGAGGCCUCGUUUGUUCAGGGGCUGCCGGCCAGGGCUUCAGGACGUUUCUGCGGCUUUCCCCGCGCGGCCUGGGCUCCCGCGGCUGCUUUUCGGGCCCAUGGGCGCAGCCACUGCGCCAGGCUCAAGGGGGGCGGCCCCGUCAGGGCCCGCCAUCUUGGAAGGCCUUUUUUGCCGGUUCUUCCCGCUGAGGAAGUGUCGCUCAAGACGCUGGCCUAUGAGUUGUGAUUUCUGCCUUUUCCCCUUCCUCCUUGGGCUAAGCCAGACCAGAAAGGGCCCCGUGCGCAACGUGCUUCACAAUCUCUCAGGGAAAGCGGCUAACGUGGCGCUACUCCGCCUCCCCUGUUCCUUACCCUUGGGGCGGCCGCCAUGUUUCCUGAACACAAAAUGGCGACACGUGGUUAGCAUUCGUCGCCAACGAGAAAUUGGGGUCGGCCCGAAAGCUCUAGAAUGCACCCCUCUUCCUCCCCGGGGCCUUCCACCUCCGCGAGUUUUAUGACUUAAAAAAGCCCACAGGCUGGUCUGAAGGUCGGAGGCCUAAUUUUAACGCGUUUUCCUCCCUUUAAUUUGAAACGGGAACGCGAAUGACUGUAAAAUGUGGGCACAAUAUUUAAUCUCUCGCCUUUUUAAAGCUUAAUAGUGGAUAAUAGGGGGGCAGUAUCAAGGGAUAAUUUGGGUCCCCACAGUACCAAAGCAUUUAGAAACCUCUGUUUAAUUUAAGGAAUGAGAUAAGUUACUGCUUUUCUAGACUUCCUAGCAUGGGCUGUUGUGCUGGAGAGAACGAGAGCUACGAAGAGACUACAGUGCCUCUGACUUUUUCAUAGGACAGUUGGCCGGUGAAUCUUAUUAAUAGUUUACCACAAUUAAGUGUUCAUUUUUAGUCUAGAAGGGACAGGCGUUUAUUGUGCAUUGGCCAGUGCCAGCACAUCCGAUGCAAGGCAGUUCACCGUAUUCUAUCUUUAAUUUUUACCAUGGUCCUCUGAGGUAGGUGUUCUUAUCUCUCUCUCUCUCUCUCUCUUUUAAACAGAGGAAGACAAACAUAAAGAUGAAGUGCUUAAUUCAAGGUCACACAAUGUCGGGGAUGGACCUCCAGAUUUCCUUACUGACCUGCAUUAUCUUGUGGAUACCUGAGUGAAUUCCACACCACCCAUUUUAUAGAUGAAACCACUGAGACAUGGAGCAAUUGACUGAGUAGUCACUGCCCCACCCCUGCCUGGAGCCUCACACAUGACUCGCCUCCUCUCAGUGACCACAGGUGAGACGUGGUCUUGUAACACAGUGGUUAAGAAUGUGACUUUGGAGCCAGCCUGCUAGGGGCUGAAUUCUGACUCAGCCAUUUACUAACUGUGUGACCUUAGUCUCACUGUUGCUCAGGCUGGAGUGCAAUGGCAUGAUCUCGGCUCAUCACAACCUCUGCUUCCUGGGUUCAAGCGAUUCUCCUGCCUCAGCCUCCCGAGUACCUGGGACUACAGGCACUCGCCACCAUGCCCGGCUGAUUUUUGUAUUUUUAAUAGAGAUGGUUUCACUAUGUUGGCCAGGCUGGUCUCGAACUCCUGACCUUGUGAUCUGCCCACCUCAGCCUCGAAAAGUGCUGGGAUUACAGGCGUGAGCCACUGCGCCCAGCCUUGUAUUUUUUUUCAGUUUGGGUAGCUGUCCCUAAUUCAUUUGUUAAAGGAGAAGCAAGAGCAAGAACCUUUAAUCUGUUCUCCUCUUCCCUAAUUUGAAAGUAGCUUGUUAUUUUGAAUAUCACUUUCUCUGAAAUAGCACAUCUCCAUCUCAGAGAAUGGAUUUAAUGUUUGGAUACAGCCAAAAGUCAUUUCAUUACCAAACCAUGGGGUGAAUAUACCAUGUAAAGCAGUUUGGGAUCAGAACUCACAGUCUGAAUUGUAAGUGAUGAGACUGCUGUCUCUCUGCUACAGCUUCUUGGCUGGCUCUGAAGGCUCUUUGAAGGCAGAUCCUAACAAGGGGACUGCUUUGAAGGGCCAUUGUUCAUUUGGAAUGAUAAAGUCUAUGUUGUUCAAAAAACAAAUGCUUGUAGCAGGUAUUUUUUCACUCCAGACUGAGAAUAUUGGUGGGAUAUUGAUAAGGGGUACUGAAUGGUAAUAAACAUGUGCUCUAGCUCUGUGCUAGUCAGCUUAUUUCAGAACUCUAGUUUGAUUCAGUUUCUUGCCUCUGACUCAAAAUGGAGGGAGAGUGAUUUUUACAUAAGAGAACACACCCACAUAUCCUUUUGGCAGCAGCUACCUGCCAGAGAUGUUGAAGAAGAGUAGCCAACCUUUACACAGCAGAUAUUGUGUGCCAGUCAUAGUCCUAAGUAUAAUACCUUACAUGUAUAAACUUCUUAUAAGGUUGGUGCUCUGUACCGAAUUGAAUAGUAUCCCCCAAAAUUCAUGUUGUCCCAGAACCUAUGAAAGUGAUCUUACUUGAGGGAGGGGGGAGGGGGGAGGGAUAGCAUUAGGAGAUAUACCUAAUGCUAAAUGACGAGUUAAUGGGUGUAGCACACCAGCAUGGCACAUGUAUACAUAUGUAACUAACCUGCACAUUGUGCACAUGUACCCUAAAACUUAAAGUAUAAUAAUAAUAAAAUAAAAAAAAAAAAGAAAGUGAUCUUACUUGGAAAUAAGGUCUUUGCACAUAUGAUCAAGUUGAGAUGAAGUUGUACUGGAAAGUCUGUCUAGUGACUGGUGUUGUCAUAAGAAGAGAGGGACACAGAGGGAAGAUGGCCACAUGAAGAUGGAGGCAGAGAUUGCAGUUAUGCUGCUGCAAACUAAGGAAUGGCUCUGGCCCUCCAAGGAUUGCUGAUAACCACCAGAAACUAGAAGAGACAAGGAAGGAUUCUUCCCUAGAGCCUUCAGAGGGAGCAUGGCCCUACUGACACCUGGAUUUCAAACUUGUAGCUUCCUAAACUGCAAGAGAAUAAAUUUCUGUUGUUUUAAGCCA